GUUCGUGUCGUCGAGUAGAUCAAUUUCAUAUAUUUAUACCCUAGGUUUGAGCAAACUAUGGGCGUUUUAUUUAGGUUUCCGUUAUGUGCUUUAAUUAAUGUUAUUUAGUUAUUUCACAUAUAGGGGAAACUUAUUCCGAGGAUUUUCGAAGUCAAGCUAGGCUCGGGGGCUACGACCCAGCGACGUACUUGACCUAGAUAGCUGUACUCUCUGUGGCACUCGAGGAAUCACGGCAGUUCUGACAUUUCCUUCUGUUUAGACGUAUAAACUUAUCACUACUAUGUAAUAAGUGUACUUUGGUUGCCUUGACUACUCUUUCGUAGUCUCACUGUCUAUUACGCUCUGAAUAAUUGCAGUGGGUUCAACCCACGAAUUGCGCACUCUU